rnacentral:tRNA from 1 species
AAUAAGGUGCCUGAUAAAAGGGUUAUCUUGAUAGGAUAGAUUAUGUAUUUAUUUACCCUUAUUA